UGCGUAGGCGGAUUGAUAAGUCAGUGGUGAAAACCUUCAGCUUAACUGGAGACUUGCCAUUGAUACUGUUAGUCUUGAGUACGGUUAAGGUAGGCGGAAUGUGUAAUGUAGCGGUGAAAUGCUUAGAUAUUACACAGAACACCGAUUGCGAAGGCAGCUUACUGGGCCAUUACUGACGCUGAGGCACGAAAGCGUGGGGAGCGAACAGGAUUAGAUACCCUGGUAGUCC
rnacentral:rRNA from 1 species